rnacentral:rRNA from 1 species
AUGGUGAGCGCGUCCAGCCUGCUGCUGCCGUCCUCCAUGCGCGACUUCGCCUCCUGCAUCGGCGACGGCGCCGUCCGCGUCGCCUGCGCCAGCCCCUCCUCCACCCUCACCUCCGGCGGCGGCUCCGCCUCCGGCUCCACCCUCGCCGUCACGGCGUCCUACCGUGCCACGCUCCUCAACUCUAACGCCUCCUCUCCGCCGCUGCUGUUUCGCCUGACCUGGGCCCACUCCCCGGUGGGCCCCACACUGUCUUUUGCUCCAUCCGCCGCUGCGCCUUCCGUUCUCCUUCGCAGGCGCAGGGGCACCCGCUCCUUCACUCUCGCGGACGGCGGCAGCGAUGCGGAUGAUGCGGAGGCGGGCUCGGAGCCCCCCGUGCUCGCCCUCUUCUGGGACCUCACGGCGGCGCGGUACGACCCCGGGGCGUCGCCGGAGCCGCUCUACGGCUACUUCGUCGUCGCCGUGGCCGGCGCAGAGGUCGUGCUCGCGGUGGGCGACCUGGCCGCGGAGUUCGUCAAGACCAAGUUCGAGGGCCAGAUCUCCAAGGCGCGGUGCCUGCCGGUGUCGCGCAGGGAGCGCGUCGUGGUCGCCGACCCGGCGGCAAUGCACACCGCGAGGGUGCGCUUCGCGGAGGGCGGGCCGGAGCACGAGGUGAGCGUCGGGUGCGCCACGAGCUCCGGGGGAGGGGAGGAGCUGUGGGUCAGCGUCGACGGGAAGCGAGCGGUGCAGGCGCAGCGGCUGCGGUGGAACUUCAGGGGCAACCAGACGGUGUUCGUCGACGGCGCGCCGGUGGACGUCAUGUGGGACCUCCACGGGUGGUGGUUCCGGGACCCGCCGGGCUGCGCGGUGGUGAUGCUCCGGGCAAGGAGCGCGCUGGAGAGCCGGCUGUGGCUGGAGGAGGAGGGGGCGGCGCCGGGGUUCUCGCUCGUCGUGCAGGCCUUCAAGGCCCCGCCAUGA